AGCUUAGUGGGGUUUUAUACUAAGUAGUUUCUGCCCAGUGGUAAGCUUAACGGCCGCGGUAUUUUGACCGUGCAAAGGUAGCAUAAUCAUUUGCCUCUUAAUUGGUGGCUUGUAUGAAAGAAAGAAUAAGGGUGUAGCUGUCUCUAAGAUAAAGCAGAAAUUGCUGAUAGUGUGAAGAAGCAUAAGUAAGGGAAAAAGACAAGAAGACCCUAUUAAGCUUUACUUUUAAACUUUGUUUUUUAUCUUAUAGAUAAUAAAAAACAAAGUUUACAGGGUUUGGUUGGGGUGACUAAAAAGGAGAGAAUCCUUUUUUUUUAUAAGAUAUUUUAAAUUUAAAAAUGAUCCAAUAUUUUUGAUUUUUAGAACAAGUUACUAUAGGGAUAACAGCGUAAUCUCCUCGGAAAGUUCUUAUUAAUGGGGGGGUUUGCGACCUCGAUGUUGACUUAUUAUAACCUAUUAAGGUGCAGAAGCUAUAAAGGUUGGUCUGUUCGACCAUUAAAAUAAU
rnacentral:rRNA from 1 species